rnacentral:rRNA from 1 species
ACGUAGGUGGCAAGCGUUGUCCGGAAUUAUUGGGCGUAAAGGGCGCGCAGGCGGUGCGGUAAGUCCAUGGUGAAAGCGCCCGGCUCAACUGGGCGAGGGCCGUGGAGACUGGCGCGCUGGAGGCAAGCAGAGGCGAGUGGAAUUCCGGGUGUAGUGGUGAAAUGCGUAGAGAUCCGGAGGAACACCAGUGGCGAAGGCGGCUCGCUGGGCUUGGCCUGACGCUGAGGCGCGAAAGCGUGGGGAGCGAACCGGAUUAGAUACCCGGGUAGUCCACGCUGUAAACGAUGGACACUAGGUGUGGGGGGUAUCGACCCCCUCCGUGCCGACGCUAACGCAGUAAGUGUCCCGCCUGGGGAGUACGGCCGCAAGGCUA